rnacentral:rRNA from 2 species
AACUUUCAACAACGGAUCUCUUGGCUCUCGCAUCGAUGAAGAACGCAGCGAAAUGCGAUAAGUAAUGUGAAUUGCAGAAUUCAGUGAAUCAUCGAAUCUUUGAACGCACCUUGCGCCCUUUGGUAUUCCGAAGGGCAUGCCUGUUUGAGUGUCAUUA